AUUGAACGCUGGCGGCAUGCCUUACACAUGCAAGUCGAACGGUAACAGGUUAAGCUGCCGAGUGGCGAACGGGUGAGUAAUGUAUCGGAACGUGCCCAGUCGUGGGGGAUAACUGCUCGAAAGAGCAGCUAAUACCGCAUACGACCUGAGGGUGAAAGCGGGGGAUCGCAAGACCUCGCGCGAUUGGAGCGGCCGAUAUCAGAUUAGGUAGUUGGUGAGGUAAAGGCCCACCAAGCCGACGAUCUGUAGCUGGUCUGAGAGGACGACCAGCCACACUGGGACUGAGACACGGCCCAGACUCCUACGGGAGGCAGCAGUGGGGAAUUUUGGACAAUGGGCGCAAGCCUGAUCCAGCCAUGCCGCGUGCGGGAAGAAGGCCUUCGGGUUGUAAACCGCUUUUGUCAGGGAAGAAAAGGUUCUGGCUAAUACCUGGGACUCAUGACGGUACCUGAAGAAUAAGCACCGGCUAACUACGUG
rnacentral:rRNA from 1 species